GAGAGUUUUAACCCGUAGUCGAGAGGGAUCCCCGGCCAAAAAGUAUUAGGGAACCCUGGGGACCCUCUGGAAUAUAGCAUACCGGAGGUGGGAAACAGAUAGAACCGGAGUCCCCCCUAACAGAUCAAUACUGGGGCCUUCGCCUGGGAGCCACUAACGGGAAUUGACCCCUGGGGUCGGUCCCAAGAUAAAAUCAAAGGAAUGACGGGACCCCCCAGUGGUGAUGAUGGGAUUAUUCGAGCAACGCGAAAAACCUACCUACCCUGACAUGUCUGGAAUGCCGAAGAGAUUGGUAGGCUCCAAGAAACCGGAACACAGGUGCUGCAUGCUGUCGUCAGCCUCGUGUCGUGAGAGUGGGUAAGUCCCGCAACGAGCGCAACCCUUGUCAUUAGUUGCUACGAAAGGGCACUCUAAUGAGACUGCCGGUGACAAACCGGAGGAAGGUGGGGAUGACGUCAAGUCCUCAUGGCCCUUAUGGGUAGGGCUUCACACGUCAUACAAUGGUCGGGACAGAGGGUCGCCAACCCGCGAGGGGGAGCCAAUCCCAGAAACCCGAUCGUAGUCUGGAUCGCAGUCUGGAGGUAGACAGAGUGAAGUCGGAAUCGCUAGUAAUCGCGGAUCAGCAUGUCGCGGUGAAUACGUUCCCGGGUCUUGUACACACCGCCCGUCACGAACAUGGGAGUGGGUUUACCAGAAGUAGUUACUCCUAACCGUAAUGCGCGAUACCACGGUAGGAUCAUGACUGGGGUGAAGUCGUAACAAGAGCCUGUUUCGAAGU
rnacentral:rRNA from 1 species